GGCGCACGCCCCCCGCGGCUGCCCGUGCAGGCGGGCGCGCUCCCGCGCGUGUGUGAGUGUGAGAUCGCGAGCGUGUGCGCGCUCCCGUGCGUGUGUGCGUGUGCGCGUGUGCGCGUGUGCGCGUGUGUGUGUGUGUGUGUGUGUGUUUGUGUGCGCCCCUGUGCGAGCGCUGGUGUUUCAGCGCCGCCCGAGUGCGGGGGGUGUUUGCGCGCUCCUCACCGCGCUCCCGGUUGCUGCCAUAUACCCGCCGCCGCCCCGGCGGCUCCGCGGAGCGCCCGCGCAGCGGGGAGGCAUCUUUAUGGGCUGCCACCAUGCUUGGGCCCUGGGGAUUUCGGGCGAAGAUGAAGAGUACUGACAGUCAUUGCUGCUUAUAAUCAGUAACUCUGAUGCUUGGAGUGUUGGCGAUGAGACAUUUCCAUGAGACCUAUUUAGAUCUCUCCACUUCUACAAGGCUAGUUUUGCAGAACGUUGGGAAUAAGCGCUAUGUCAGAUAUGGCUGAGACUAUGAAGAUGAUCCGUGUGUUUUACAUUUCUCACAAAUUUUGGG